rnacentral:lncRNA from 1 species
AAAUAAUCAGGGAGAACCUCGAUAGUUAGGGUUUCAGAUGAAUCCUAGAGAUGAGAAAGGCUUCAAAAAUAUUCGAUCUAAGUCGGAUAAUGUCAUAAUCAUGCUCAAAAGACCAAAAGCCACAAGAGCAAGGCUGAAGAUGGCCAGGAUCUUCGAAUAGGUGAAGGUCUGGGUAAAGACCCUUGAGGUCUGGCCUCGAUCCUUCACAAAAGGCAUGCAGGAGCCAUAUGAGGCAGGUACAUAUCUUUUAAUGGCUUUUAAAGCCAUGGAUUCAGGUGGCAAUCAGAGGGAGGCGGCUAGGGUUAGGUUUAGGUCUCAGAGAGAAUCAGAGAGGAAAAGCAUUUUAG